GACGAACGCUGGCGGCGUGCUUAACACAUGCAAGUCGAACGAUGAAGCUGGAGCUUGCUCCGGUGGAUUAGUGGCGAACGGGUGAGUAACACGUGAGCAAUCUGCCCUUGACUCUGGGAUAACUGCGGGAAACUGUAGCUAAUACCGGAUAUGAGAUCUGAAGGCAUCUUCGGGUUUGGAAAGAAUUUCGGUCAAGGAUGAGCUCGCGGCCUAUCAGCUAGUUGGUGAGGUAAUGGCUCACCAAGGCGGCGACGGGUAGCCGGCCUGAGAGGGUGACCGGCCACACUGGAACUGAGACACGGUCCAGACUCCUACGGGAGGCAGCAGUGGGGAAUAUUGCACAAUGGGCGAAAGCCUGAUGCAGCAACGCCGCGUGAGGGAUGAAGGCCUUCGGGUUGUAAACCUCUUUUAGCAGGGAAGAAGCGAAAGUGACGGUACCUGCAGAGAAAGCACCGGCUAACUACGUGCCAGCAGCCGCCGUAA
rnacentral:rRNA from 1 species